GUGGGAGGUCUGGAGGAGACCCAUAGAGAGAAGAGGCUGACCAUGAUGCUACCGAAGUCUGUGAGGAGAUGAGCUGCGUCGGUCAUGAUGGCCAGACUGUGUGCCGCGUAGCCACCUAAUCUUACCGAUCACCUCUCCAACCAUGAAGACCAGGCUGACAACAGAAGCGAUGAUGAGUUUCCUCUUGGCCAGGUGCUUCUCACGACUCUCUGUCCACGAAGCCCUGUCGUUCUCAUGGCAGUGACCAGUAGCAGUAACAGGAUGCCACCGGACAGCUGCAGCAGUUCUGUCUCCAGUCUCUGCUGUUGGACUGGGACAUUUGUCUUGCUCAGACCCAGGGAAUGACCUGAGAGAAAACAUCCCAAGAUCAAGUUGAUUUGUCAUAUAGAGUGGGUCAUGGAAUAAUACAUAUAAUGGAAAACUUACUCACUAGAGCUCUCGUAUUAAAAACAGCAAGAAAGUUUGGGACAAAACACACAGAUAUGUAUGACAAUCAGCUACUUGGGUACAUUUAAUGAUAACUAAGCACUUGGAAUACCUGUUCUGUCUAGGCUGUAUUUCUUUUACACAGAACCACACGUAAAUCUAUCAACUAUAAACUGAUAACGGAGUUGUCCAUUUAUCGAUUCGUGCAAAUUGGACUGAACAGCUGUUAACUGAGAUGAAGAUAAUGCAACAUUAAAAUAGUAACUGUUCCUAACAAAGGCCUUAAAAGUUGCAAAUAAAAUAACUACAUGCCCCAGUAAUGGCAUGGAGUAUGUUGUAGUAUCAUCCUCGAUGAGACGGUGUUUCUGAGAAUCCAUAAUCUCCUUCAAAACAGCUCCUGAAAGUUUAGUAAGAACCAAAACGUAGGCUUAAACAAUGGCUAUACAACCAAAAGGAAAAUGCCACUGUCCUUAUGAUAUCGCUGCCUCUCCGACCUAAUUCCGUCAGCCUCUCAAACAUUGACCUGGUUCAUGCCUGCGCCUGCUGAAAACCUGACACCUGUUAAUCAGGUGUGGUGUUUGUAUGGAAACUGGGAGAUAACUGACUAGGGGCCAUGAUUACACAAUCAACCUAUCAUAACAGGCCAAGUCACUAAGUCAGUUGUCUAUUGUGGCUACUGCUACUCAUUGUGUAUCAAGCAUUGAUUGUAAAUAAAUUAGGUAUCAAGUCUCGUGUUUUUCUGGACCACAAGCAUCUUUAAACACAUUUAUUUCUUGUAGAAGUAUGGUAUUGUCAUGAAAAAUAAGUUAUGCAGAAGAUAUGAAUAGGCAAACAAUUGAUCAGAAUCCCCAAUUUAUUAAUCAUAUACACACACACAUAAAUAUAUUUUACAGUAUGAACAGUAUAUAAAACUGAAAGUUUAUUAAAAGCAAGGCCUUUGUUCUAUCCAUAUUAGGUCGAGUGAACAAUUACGGAAAGAUUCUUUUGACCUGCAUUGGAAUUUUGGCAGUAUUCACUGAAACUGGUGAACUACAACAGAAACCCACUUUAAAAUAUGCGGAUUGCUGGUGUGUGAGACAACGGCUUUCAACAACUGUUCUUACUUGGUGUCCAAGUGUUUAAAAAGUCUAGCGGGCGUACGUGGGAAGCGAUUAAUAUAAACAAAUAUAUCUGGUGUACAGAAAGGGAAUAUGACAGGUGUAUCCAGAGCACACAAGAUUAGAUCAAAAGAUAUAGAAAAUCAUUUGGUUCAGGAAUACAGAGAGAGUUUUAAAUAACAACAUCUCCUAUAUUAUUACACACAGAGAGAAAAAAAAAAACAGGGAGGUAUGAGAGAGACAUGACAAAAUAAAAACAGUGAGCACAUAUGUGUGUUCAGGACUGGGGUUGGCAUACAGAAUCCUACAAAUUGGAAUCACAAGCUUUGGAAAACUGAAAAUAAAGCCUGAACAAAUAUUGCUCUGUCGCCUACAAACAAACAUGUAAACAACACAUUCAAGCAUUGUUUCCACAUAGGUUAAAGUUGCAGUUAUUGGCUCCCACGUAAGGGGGAGUGGCAGACCACAGCAGCCCUUACUAUGACAGUGGUUCAUUAUGCUAAGAAGGCGCUUAAAGUGCACAUUUAUUUACGAAUUCAGACUCAGGCUGUGUCUCAAAAUGGCACACUAUUCCCUAUAUAGUGCACUACUUUUGACCAGAGACUUAUGGGCCCUGGUGAAAAGUAGUGCACUACAUAGCGGAGGUCAAAAGGUUGUGCACAAGACAAGAAGCCAUUUGGGAGACGUCAGUUUCGAUUCAAUCACCCUCUCUACAUGGUCCAUUAAGCAUACAUAGAAGCCGUUACCCUGUACAUACUGUUUCGUACUAUUUAAAAAUUAUAAUUUUUCAAAUCUACAAAAAGAUCGCAUACGCAUUAAGGUAAACUUGGCAGUUGGCACAAUCAUAAGAAUGUAUGACUCUUGUAAACAUAGACCACAACUGGCAAUUGAAAUGAGACAUAUACAGUCUUAUUAUUAAGAUAACAAAAUAUAAAUCCACAUACAGUGCCUUAAUUAUUCACACUUACUUGACUUUUUCCACAUUUUGUUGUUACCCCCAGAAUUUAAAAUGGAUUACAUUUAGAUUGUGUGUCACUGGCCUACACACAAUAACCCAUAAUGUCAAAGUGUAAUUAUGUUUUUAGAAAUUUUUACAAAUUAAUAAAAAAAAUGAAAAGCUGAAAUGUCUUGAGUCAAUAAGUAUUCAAGCCCUUUGUUUUGGCAAGCCUAAAUAAAGUUCAGGAGUAACUUGAGUAAUUUGUUCAGGAGUAAUUUGCUUAUCAAGUCACAUAAGUUGCAUGGACUUUUAUUUAUUUUUUAAAGCAGACAUUGAAUAUCCCUUUGAGCAUGGUGAAGUUAUUAAUUACACUUUGGAUGGUGUAUCAAUACACCCAGUCACUACAAAGAUACAGGCGUCCUUCCUAACUUAGUUUGCUGGAGAGGAAGGAAGCUGCUCUGCGAUUUCACCAUGAGGUCAAUGGUAACUUUAAAACAGUUACAGACUUUAAUGGCUGUGAUAGGAUAAAACUGAGGAUGGAUCAACAACAUUGUAGUUACACCACAAUACUAACCUAAACGACAAAGUCAAAAGAAGAAAGUCUGUACAGAAUAUUCCAAAACAGGCACUAAAGUAAAACCUGUGGCAAAGAAAUUAACUUAAUGUCCUGAAUAGAAAGUGUUAUGUUGGGAGCAAAUCCAACACAACACAUUACUGAAUACCACUCCUCAUAUUUUCAAGCAUUGUGGUGGCUGCAUCAUGUUAUGGGUAUGCUUGUCAUCGGCAAGAACUAGGCAGUGGUUGAUAAAAAAUUUAAAAACGUAAUAGAGCUAAGCACAGGUAAAAAUCCAAGAGGAAAACCUGAUUCAGUCUGCUUUCCAACAGACACGGAGACAAAAAUGACCUGUCAGCAGGACAAUGACCUAAAACACAAGGCCAAAUAUACACUGGAUUUUCUGGAUGACAUAGAAUUUUCC